rnacentral:snoRNA from 12 species
CCCUGCAUUCGAAAGUGAUCGUGGGCUGCCUGUGCCCUGGUCAUUGAUAGUGCAGGGAGAGAAAUCGCUGAAAGACGUUUCCCCGUGUUUGGAGGGUCUACGCUGUCCCUUUCAAACCCUGGAGCUUUCCCACA